UACGAAGGGGGCUAGCGUUGCUCGGAAUCACUGGGCGUAAAGCGCACGUAGGCGGCUUUCUAAGUCAGGGGUGAAAUCCUGGAGCUCAACUCCAGAACUGCCUUUGAUACUGGAGAGCUUGAGUCCGGAAGAGGUGAGUGGAACUCCGAGUGUAGAGGUGAAAUUCGUAGAUAUUCGGAAGAACACCAGUGGCGAAGGCGGCUCACUGGUCCGGUACUGGACGCUGAUGUGCGAAAGCGUGGGGAGCAACAGG
rnacentral:rRNA from 1 species